UGUAUAUAGAUGUGUUACAUCGAUUACAUUCAGAUUAAAAAUAUAUGAGUUUGUGUAGUAGCAGACGGAAACCAAUCUCCCGUUAAGGGAGAAAAUAAGCCUCCGUCUCACAAGUGCACAGGGGUGUGUGGAUGAAAGAGAAGGCGUGCACGAUGCCUUUGCAGGCCAGCUACAACCGACUCUAUGUUCAUUCGAUAAUGAUCCUUCCGCAGGUUCACCUACGGAAA
rnacentral:misc_RNA from 1 species